GCACCGCCGCGUACCCGGGUCUCCAAGCCAACCCAGCUCCCCAAGCCCCGGGACCCCGGCCCUCCGUGGCCCCCUCCCCGGGAGCUCCUCCCUCCGGGCCCCCCCCCGCCACCCCCUCGCGGACCCCACGAGUCCCCCUUUACGCCUCCAUAGUGGAUUACCGCGGUGCCCGCAGGUUUCGGGCUCCCCUUACCCGGCUCAGGUGGUAGCCGGCGUGUCCCUGAGUCCGCGCCCGGCGCUCUGAGAGGGUGGCCGUGGUUAAUUCCCGGUAGUGACCGCCAUAGCGCCACGUGGCCACUGCUUGACAAAGGAAACUUUUUUCAACCUCCAGUGAGCCUAAGAAAGCCCCAGCAUUUCAGGCCAAGCCGCUGGCUGCCUGGCUUCUGUUUUUACUCCUUUCCUUCUGUCCCUUUCUGGGACGAGCCACACCUUCUCUGCUUUCUCUGGGCCCGUCCAGGACGCUGGGCCCGGGGCCUGGCGCGGUGAGCUGCAGAUAGCCGGGGGCGCAGGGCAGCCCGGAGGCUGGAGGGCGACCUGGAAGGCUGGACCGGUUCGGGGCAUCUGGUGCUCAAGGAAAGUCAGCUCCCGCCGCCCCUCGGGGCCAGGUGGGUGCAUGAAGUACCCGGUGGCCCAGGUGCCUUUCCCCAACCCAAGGAGCUCAGAACUCUUGGCAGUUCGACGUUUGCAAACAAACCAAAGAGGAGCAGAAAGUUUUCAGACUCAGAGGCGACAUCCCAACAGCUUGGCUUGAAGGAGUACUUUAGGACUCAGAACAACAGGAUGAAGACAGCAGCUAAAAUAGAACACACCAGCAGAGACGUUCAGCUCCUUGAGCUGUGCUUCCGAAGCUCAAGCAUGGCAGAGUGGCCUUGUUAAAUCAGAGUUCAGGGUGCCACCCUGACAGUUUCUGAUUCCGUAGGUGCCCAGUAGGGACCAAGAAUCCUUUUUUUUUUUCCUUUUUCUUUUUAAUAGAGUCAGGGUCUUGCUAUGUUGCCCACAUGGGUCUCAAAUUCAAGCGAUCCUCCCACCUCGACCUCCCAAAGCACUGGAAUUCCAGGCAUAAGCCACCGUGCCUGGCCAAGAACGUUUUUUUUUUUAACAAGUUUCUAAAUGAUGCUGGUCUAUUGGUCCUGGGACCACACUUUGAAAUUGGUGGGAUAGGAGGCUGGGAUCUUUAUCCAUUCACUCAACUCCCAUUCCCCAUGGUUGAAAGUUUCCCUGGGGCAUCCCUGGGAGGCCUGGGGGCUGACAAGAUUCAAACGUUUUGGUGAAAAGCCCCAAGACAGUGAAGUGGGGUGUGCUUGAAGUGGGGCACCGUCAUCACCCACCUACCCACCACAGAGGUGAGCUAAAAGCCACCCUUGAAUACAGUGUUGCUCCCUGUCAUGACUCACGGACAGGUUACCAGACCGGAGCCUCCAGCAAUCCAGGAGCACAAACAAGGAUGCCUUAAAACAAAACUUGUGUCAGGGUACCCUUCGCUGCCUCAGAGGAAAUCAGAAUGACCUGGUGGACAACUGUUCAUAAGGACAAGAGCCAGUAUCACUGCCUUUGAGUCCCAGCCUCCUCAAAUCCAUUUUCUGCCCUGCACCACCUCAUCAUAUCCCGGAUAUUGUUAGUGUCGUGUCAUUUCAUGACUCAGGAGCUGCGGGUGACUUUGGCUGCCCUGACAUUUGUUAAAUUGGCUCCUGGGUCCUGGUUUGCAAAUGUUGCCACUUUGAGAUCCGUAGAUGGUCAUCCCUGGCUCCCUUGGGGAGUGUCCUGGAAUCCACCAGCUCCAUCUGCUCGACAAGAGACUUGAGUUUGUUCUGUUACCUCUUUCAUCAUUAGCCAAAGCUCCGGGACUUGGUUAAAACUUUAGGCAAUUAAAAAGACUGACUUAUGGAGAUAGUAGUGUUUUCACUAUAUCGUCCCUGCUUGAAUUUAUGUUCUUGAAUUCCAUUAACCUGAAAUAUAUCAAAAUACCAAGAUGUUAUGAAGAAUGGGAACAAAUAUAGAAAAGUGAAAA
rnacentral:lncRNA from 1 species